UCUCCUCUAUUCCUCUAAACAAAGUCUUUUGGUUUUCUUGUAACAUCCUCCGCCUCUUCUUUAUCUCAAUGGUUUGCUCUUUUACUGAAGUCUGAAGUCUUUCCUAAUCCUCCUAUUGAUAAGUUAUCAGUAGAAUAUUAUGUAGUGUACUUUCCUUCAGUGUUGAGUAUCCCACGUUUCCUGCAACUCAGUGGUGACAGG
rnacentral:misc_RNA from 1 species